ACAAAUGAUAGUGUGUCUGUGUGUACAUCUAAUUGUUAGUGUGUCCGUGUGUACAUCUAAAUGCUAGUGUGUCUGUGUGUACAUCUAAAUGUUAGUGUGUGUCUUUGUUUAGAACCAAAUGACAGUGUGUCUGUGCGUAUAUCUAAUUGUUAGUGUGUCUUUGUGUACAUCUAACUAUUAGUGUGUGUCAUUGUUUAGAACCAAAUGAUAGUGUGUCUUUGUUUAGAUCCAAAUGUUAGUGUGUCUGUGUGUACAUCUAAUUGUACAUCUAAAUUUACCAGCAUGUCUAAAUGUUAGUGUGUCUCUGAGUACAUCUGUGUGUAUGUGUGUGUGUGUGUGGGGGUGUGUGUGUGUGUGUCAUGAGUAGAUCUGGAUUUGCUCCUGAGGGGUUGACGCGGCGUCCUGAUGGCGUCCUGUUGGUCUGCAGACAAGGAGAAGAGACGUGAGGAGGAUCAUCAGGAUGUGUCUGUGUGUACAUCUAAUUGUUAGCGUGUCUGUGUGUAGAUCUAAUUGUUAGUGUUUGUGUGUACAUCUAAUUGUUAUUGUGUCUUUGUGUACAUCUAAAUAUUAGUGUGUGUCAUUGUUUAGAACCAAAUAAUAGUGUGUCUGUGUGUACAUCUAAUUGUUAGUGUGUCUGUGUGUACAUCUAAAUAUUAAUGUGUCUUUGUGUACAUCUAAAUAUUAUGUGUGUCAUUGUUUAGAACCAAAUGAUAGUGUGUCUGUGUGUACAUCUAAUUGUUAGCGUGUCUGUGUGUACAUCUAAAUAUUAAUGUGUCUUUGUGUACAUCUAGAUGUUAG
ensembl:lncRNA